UUAAGCAGGAAAACAAGUAAAACAUGUAGGAUAGUGUGACUAGAAUAGAUGCACCUGAAAUUUGUUUGUGAUUCACCAUUAAAGCAGAAGAAUAAAACUAGGAUAAACAUUCCUGUUCUAAAGGCACUGUAUUCGAUAUAAAAGGACUAACCGCCCCCUUUUGUCUUAGCUAAUAUCUUUCUGCAGCUUCUGCUCAGUGCAGUGAAGAGAGCUGUUAUUUUCAAAGAAUUUUCUGGUGAUGGACAAACAUGCAUCAGGAAACCUCGCUUGGAGAAGGGAAACCUGAGGCACCUCCCUGGAGUCAGGUCCGCACACAGUGGGAGCUUCUCGGCAGGUGCCCACUUGGUUGAGCCUUGGCCCAUGGAACUGAGGUGGGCUAAGCCCAGAAGAAGAAGAAAGACAGGAUGCCAGCUCUGUGUGGGCCCACCACCUUGAGGACCAUCAGAGUCCAGUACCAUUUAGGGGAGCUUGUGUCUAUCUCCAGAAAGAGGCGAGAGGUCCCAGAUCCAUCACAGGGUGGAUUGUUCAUUUUUAUCAA